UCUAUAUUUAGAUUGUAUAGCAGAGAAUUAGGUUAACUAUAAAUAGUCUUAACGUGUGACAGAGAAAUCGGUAGAAGAAAUAUCUAGCAAGUUGUAACUCUUUUCUAUAAAUAAUGAAAGAAACCUAAUGGAAGCGGUAUUAAGACCAAUCUUGACAUGGUAUCAGAGCCCCUACUCUGAUAUUCAUCUAUGUGAUCUUAAUCCUUAAGUGUUGGCGUGUUGCGAUAGGAGGAAUUUUUUUCCUCUCACUAUUUCCGCAAGUUUCUCUUGUUUUUUGGUAUUCUUGGUUGGGAGUCGGAGUUGUCUGUGGUGUUUUCACUUGUGGCUUCGGCCAUUUCUGUGGCAGAUGGCAGUUUCUAUGGCGGUCGACUCCUUCUGUGGGUGGCUGUGUGGUGGUCGGCUAAGUCUGUGGUGGUUUGUUGGUGCUUGUCGGCAGUUUCUGGGUAGUUUCUGGUGGCUGAAGACGCACGGGUGUCACCUUUGGUGAGUAUCGGCAAUUUCUGUGGAGGUUUUUUGUGGCGGUCCGAAAGUUUCUGGGUGGCUGUGUUGCAGUCGGGUCACUCUGCUGGUUUUCAUAAUUUUUUGGGCAGGUAUCGAAGUAUUCUCCUUUGUCCGUAAGGUAUUUCUCU